GCGAACGCUGGCGGCAGGCUUAACCCAUGCAAGUCGAGCGGGCAUCCUUGUGGUGUCAGCGGCAGACGGGUGAGUAACGCGUGGGAACGUGCCCUUCGGUUCGGAAUAACUCAGGGAAACUUGAGCUAAUACCGGAUACGUGCGAGAGCAGAAAGGUUUAUCUGCCGAAGGAUCGGCCCGCGUCUGAUUAGCUAGUUGGUGAGGUUACGGCUCACCAAGGCGACGAUCAGUAGCUGGUCUGAGAGGAUGAUCAGCCACACUGGGACUGAGACACGGCCCAGACUCCUACGGGAGGCAGCAGUGGGGAAUAUUGGACAAUGGGGGCAACCCUGAUCCAGCCAUGCCGCGUGAGUGAUGACGGCCUUAGGGUUGUAAAGCUCUUUUCUCCGGGACGAUAAUGACGGUACCGGAGGAAUAAGCCCCGGCUAACUUCGUG
rnacentral:rRNA from 1 species